GGGAGCGCCCUCCCGGAUCUGUCCGCACCUGCAACCGACGCCACGACCCGUCGUCCGGGUCUGACAGCCGCGAACCACGUCAUGUACGCGGGAGCUGACGUAACCAUCGCCAUUGAGGAGUCCUGCGACCGCUGUGGAAAACCAUACACCAACAAAAGCUGUGCUGUCUCUUCAGCACCAUCGGGAUAAAAAAUAAACAAGAUAUGGGUGACAAUUAAGAGAAGAGUGCCAGAGAGAGAUAGAGAGAGAGAAAGAAAAUAUACGUGUGGACAACUGCGUAGUGCAGCAGAAGUAAAAAAAAACUUCUAGGUACGGACCCAGGGAGUGAUCAUGGCCACUGGAUUGAUGUCAAGCGGAUGAACGUGUUUUGGGGUUACUUUGCC